CUGCUGAAAGGUGUUUUGGCGGGAGAGGCGGGCAAGGCUCGGCCUCCCCGCCGAUUCCUUCUCCAUUGCUUCUUCAUGAAUUCGUGCGCUUGCUUCUUGUUUCUAAAUUCUUGUUGAUUGCCGCCAUUAUCACCACCACCACCACCACUAUCACCGUGUACUCGGCCUGUCCCUCUCUUUUCAAGCCUUUUUUGUGGUGCUCGGAUCUAGCAAGCAACGAUUGCUCUGAACGCAUGGCUCCUCCGAGUGCACCAAAAUUUCAGCCCUCCUGGAACCUAGAUUGAAAGAAAGAUUGGGAAGCUGGUAGUGCCCCUAAGCAUGUACAAACUACGCAGUUAAGCUAUGUUGGAGAUGCAUUCCAUGGUUACUGGAGCAAGGCAUCAAGACAAGAAAAUGAAAAGUGAGGCAAUGCAUGACAUGGCUGCUCAACGACGUGGUUCCGCAGCAGUUAUUGUGCUUCUUGGUUUUUUAUAUACCAAAGCAGCGUCUCAAUGGCAACUAGACAAACUUAGCUGAACCACAAUGUGAUGCAUUGCCGUGUACGUCUUCUUUUAUGCUAUCAACAUGCACAACUAGUUUGCAGUGUUGCUUGUAACUAUUGUCUGCCACUAUGCGAAUGCGAUGCAGAGAAAGCAAGAAGACUUUUUGAGGGGAAGCAGCGCCAGUUAUUCCCCAAACUUGAAGUCUUCAACAUCUGUUGGCACUAUUUAUCAAUAUGGACUUGCCCAAAGAAAUUUUUUCCCCAUGCUGGAAUCUCGUGUAGGCAAGAACGUUUCACACUUUUUUGUGCAAAACUUGGUUAACAGAGGAAUUUGGAAGAUAUUAGAUAAGACCUUGGAUGAAGCUUCAAUUCUGCCAAUUCUUUUUUGCUUUUCCUUGUGUUGCCGUAGGGCUUCGAAGCUGCAACUCUUUUCGAUUUCAUUUCUCCUCCCACAGCCCAUUAAUCAAGUU